rnacentral:rRNA from 1 species
CCUACGGGAGGCAGCAGUGAGGAAUUUUGCGCAAUGGGGGAACCCUGACGCAGCGACGCCGCGUGGAGGAUGACGGCCUUCGGGUUGUAAACUCCUGUCAGAGGUGAAGAAUCCCCGCAAGGGGUUGACGGUAACCUCAAAGGAAGCCCCGGCUAACUACGUGCCAGCAGCCGCGGUAAGACGUAGGGGGCAAACGUUACUCGGAAUUACUGGGCGUAAAGGGUUCGUAGGUGGCCAACUAAGUCAGACGUGAAAUCCCUCAGCUUAACUGGGGAACUGCGUCUGAUACUGGUUGGCUUGAGUGCAGGAGAGGAACGCGGAAUUCCAGGUGUAGCGGUGAAAUGCGUAGAUAUCUGGAGGAACACCGGUGGCGAAGGCGGCGUUCUGGACUGCAACUGACACUGAGGAACGAAAGCCAGGGGAGCAAACGGGAUUAGAUACCCCGGUAGUCCUGGCCCUAAACGAUGAAUGCUUGGUGUGGCGGGUAUCGAUCCCUGCCGUGCCGAAGUUAACGCGAUAAGCAUUCCGCCUGGGGAGUACGGUCGCAAGGCUGAAACUUAAAGGAAUUGACGG